CCCCUAGAUGUUCUGGGCCGCACGCGCGCUACACUGACGAAUGCAACGAGCUUAUAACCUUGGCCGAAAGGUCUGGGUAAUCUCCAAAUUUCGUCGUGAUGGGGAUAGAUUAUUGCAAUUAUUAAUCUUCAACGAGGAAUGCCUAGUAAGCGCAAGUCAUCAGCUUGCGUUGAUUACGUCCCUGCCCUUUGUACACACCGCCCGUCGCUCCUACCGAUUGAAUGGUCCGGUGAAGCGCUCGGACCGCGGCCUCUUGACGGUUUUCCGUCGAUUGGCUGUGGGAAGUUCGUUAAACCUUAUCAUUUAGAGGAAGGAGAANUCGUANCA
rnacentral:rRNA from 1 species